UGGGGAAUAUUGCACAAUGGGGGAAACCCUGAUGCAGCGACGCCGCGUGAACGAAUAAGGUAUUCGUAUCGUAAAGUUCUGUCCUAUGGGAAGAUAAUGACAGUACCAUAGAAGAAAGCUCCGGCUAAAUACGUGCCAGCAGCCGCGGUAAUACGUAUGGAGCGAGCGUUGUCCGGACUUAUUGGGCGUAAAGGGUACGCAGGCGGUUUAAUAAGUCGAAUGUUAAAGAUCGGGGCUCAACCCCGCAAAGCAUUGGAAACUGAUAAACUUGAGUAGUGGAGAGGAAAGUGGAAUUCCUAGUGUAGUGGUGAAAUACGUAGAUAUUAGGAGGAAUACCAGUAGCGAAGGCGACUUUCUAGACACAAACUGACGCUGAGGUACGAAAGCGUGGGGAGCAAACAGG
rnacentral:rRNA from 1 species